AAAUGACAACACCUAUUCUAAUAUCAGUUUUGAUAGGAACAAUUCUCAUUGCAGCAUCUGGAUAUUUCUUAUGGAUAAAAUGGUCAAGGCAAAAAGGGGAAAAGCAUAUGCAAAUUCACAACAAAGGGAGGAUUACGAACUUGAAGCAAGUCAAAAUUCAAGAGCUAUCAUUGUGAUUUUAGAGAGUUGGCAACUGCAACAAACAAAUUUGACCUAGCAAACAAGCUUGGGCAGGGUGGUUUUGUUCCAGUUUACAAGGGAAAGUUGGGAAAUGGACAGGAAAUUGCAGUAAAAAGACUUUCAAGAUCAUCUGGACAGGGUAUGGAAGAAUUUAUUAAUGAAGUGGAGUUGAUUUCAAAGCUCCAACACCGAAACCUUGUUAGACUUAUUGGAUGUUGCAUUGAAGGAGAAGAGAUAUUGGUUAUGAAUACAUGCCAAAAAAAAGUUUGGAUAGAUACAUCUUUGAUCCAUUGCAACAAAAAUGCUUAGAUUGGGGAAAGCGCUUCACCAUAAUGAGGGAAUAGCUAGAGGAUUGCUCUAUCUUCAUAGAGAUUCAAGAUUACGAAUUAUACAUAGAGAUUUGAAAGCAAGUAACAUAUUAUUGGAUGAAGAAAUGAAUCCAAAGAUAUCAGAUUUUGGGAUGGCUAAACUUUUUGGAGGUAAUGAAAAUCAAGCAACUACAAAAAGAAUUGUUGGCACAUAGUAAGUGGCCCUUUUCCUUUGUCCAAGAUAAUUACAUUUGUAGCAUAUUGAGAGCUCAAAGAUGUAGUUUAUAAAUGCAGUGGCUAUAUUUCUCCAGAAUAUGCAACAGAAGGACUCUAUUCGGAGAAAUCUGAUCUUUUUAACUUUGGUGUUUUACUGUUAGAGAUUAUUAGCGGACGAAAAAACACUAGCUUUUAUGAAGAUGCAGGAUAUUUCACACUUUUAGGAUUUGCAUGGAAAUUAUGGGUGGAUGACAAUGUUAUGCCUCUAAUAGAUCCACAAAUAUAUGAUCCAAGCUUUCACAAGGACAUAUUGCAGUGCAUACAUAUUGGGCUUUUGUGUGUGCAAGAACUUGCAAAAGAUAGACCCACUAUGGCCUCUGUAAUGUCAAUGCUUCAUUGUGAGAUCAUGGAUAUUCCUCCCCCAAAACAACCUGCAUUCAUCCUCAGGCAAACCAUGUCUCAUGCAGCAGAUCAAACUCUAAACAAUGAUGAAUUAUGUUCCAUCAAUAAAGUAACUAUCUCAAAUUUUGAGGGGAGAUAGACAGGGUUUUAUGAAGUUUCUGUUUCAUUUUGAGAGACCUAAGAUAUAUUCUUCAUCGGCAUAUACUUUGAUUACUUUCAAUAUCUCUUCAACAGGGUAGCUCUCCCUUGUUUCUACAAAAGAUUUUCUAUCCUGUUAAUACUAAACGUUUAGCAUGCUUGUUUUAUAAAAUGAUAUUUAUGGUCAUGUUCCCUCCUCUGAAUGCUAGUGUGUUUGUUCCAUUCUGCAUCUCUAUUCAUUUAAUAUGAGGUUCUUUCCAAAUCUGGCAAAGUGCUAGUUAAAAAUAAGCUUCC